UACGUAGGGGGCAAGCGUUGUCCGGAUUUAUUGGGCGUAAAGGGCGCGUAGGCGGAUAAGGAAGUCAGAUGUGAAAUCCCGGAGCUCAACCCCGGAACUGCAUUUGAAACUUAGUAUCUAGAGGGUAGGCGGAGAAAACGGAAUUCCACAAGUAGCGGUGAAAUGCGUAGAUAUCGGGAGGAACACCUAUGGCGAAGGCAGCUCGCUGGGACGUUACUGACGCUGAGACGCGAAAGCCAGGGGAGCGAACGGG
rnacentral:rRNA from 1 species